rnacentral:rRNA from 1 species
GAUGAACGCUGGCGGCGUGCCUAAUACAUGCAAGUCGAGCGAACAGACGAGGAGCUUGCUCCUCUGACGUUAGCGGCGGACGGGUGAGUAACACGUGGAUAACCUACCUAUAAGACUGGGAUAACUUCGGGAAACCGGAGCUAAUACCGGAUAAUAUAUUGAACCGCAUGGUUCAAUAGUGAAAGACGGUUUUGCUGUCACUUAUAGAUGGAUCCGCGCCGCAUUAGCUAGUUGGUAAGGUAACGGCUUACCAAGGCAACGAUGCGUAGCCGACCUGAGAGGGUGAUAGGCCACCCUGGAACUGAGACACGGUCCAGACGCCUACGGGAGGCCGCAGUAGGGAAUCUUCCGCAAUGGGCGAAAGCCUGACGGAGCAACGCCGAGUGAGUGAUGAAGGUCUUCGGAUCGUAAAACUCUGUUAUUAGGGAAGAACAAAUGUGUAAGUAACUAUGCACGUCUUGACGGUACCUAAUCAGAAAGCCACGGCUAACUACGUG